GCCAGGUAUGGUGGUGUGCACCUGUAGUCCCAGCUACUGGGGAGGCUGAGGUGGAAGGCUCACUCGAGCCCAGGAGCCAGGGGUUGUAGCACACCAUUCCCAAAGGGUGUUCCACUAAGUUUGGCAUCAAUAUAGUGACCACCAGGAGUGGGAAGACCACCAGAUUGCCUAAGGAAGAAUGAACCUGCCCACGUUGGAAAUAGGUUGUCAAAACUCCUGUGCUGAUCAGUAGUGGGAUCUCACCUGUGAAUAGCCACUGCGUUCUAGCCUGGGAAACAUAGCGAGAUCCCAGCUCUU
rfam:Otolemur garnettii contig011449, whole genome shotgun sequence.